rnacentral:rRNA from 1 species
UACGAAGGGGGCUAGCGUUGCUCGGAAUCACUGGGCGUAAAGCGCACGUAGGCGGAUCUUUAAGUCGGGGGUGAAAUCCUGGAGCUCAACUCCAGAACUGCCUCCGAUACUGGGGAUCUCGAGUCCGGGAGAGGUGAGUGGAACUGCGAGUGUAGAGGUGAAAUUCGUAGAUAUUCGCAAGAACACCAGUGGCGAAGGCGGCUCACUGGCCCGGUACUGACGCUGAGGUGCGAAAGCGUGGGGAGCAAACAGG